GCAAACUUGGUCAUUUAGAGGAAGUAAAAGUCGUAACAAGGUUUCCGUAGGUGAACCUGCGGAAGGAUCAUUAUCGAUUUUGAACGAGGGUUGUAGCUGGCCUUUCGAGGCAUGUGCACGCCCAAAUUCUCAUCUCAAUCACACACCUGUGCACACACGUCGUAGGCCUCUCGGGGCCUGCGUCCUUACAUACACACACGCUGUCUUAUGAAUGUAUAUGUAUCUGUCGUUUGUAACAAAGCGAAACAAUACAACUUUCAACAACGGAUCUCUUGGCUCUCGCAUCGAUGAAGAACGCAGC
rnacentral:misc_RNA from 1 species